GCUAGCGGAAUGCUUUACACAUGCAAGUCGAACGGCAGCACGGACUUCGGUCUGGUGGCGAGUGGCGAACGGGUGAGUAAUAUAUCGGAACGUAUCCAAUAAUGGGGGAUAACUAAUCGAAAGGUUGGCUAAUACCGCAUACGCCCUACGGGGGAAAGCUAGGGAUCUUCGGACCUGGCGUUAAUGGAGCGGCCGAUAUCUGAUUAGCUAGUUGGUGGGGUAAAGGCCCACCAAGGCGACGAUCAGUAGCUGGUCUGAGAGGACGACCAGCCACACUGGAACUGAGACACGGUCCAGACUCCUACGGGAGGCAGCAGUGGGGAAUUUUGGACAAUGGGCGCAAGCCUGAUCCAGCCAUUCCGCGUGAGUGAAGAAGGCCUUCGGGUUGUAAAGCUCUUUCGCAAGGGAAGAAAACUUAUCCUCUAACAUAGGAUGAGGUUGACGGUACCUUGAUAAGAAGCACCGGCUAACUACGUGCCAGCAGCCGCGGUAAUACGUAGGGUGCGAGCGUUAAUCGGAAUUACUGGGCGUAAAGCGUGCGCAGGCUGUUUUGUAAGUCAGAUGUGAAAUCCCUGAGCUCAACUUAGGAACUGCGUUUGAAACUACAAGACUAGAAUAUGUCAGAGGGGGGUAGAAUUCCACGUGUAGCAGUGAAAUGCGUAGAGAUGUGGAGGAAUACCAAUGGCGAAGGCAGCCCCCUGGGAUAAUAUUGACGCUCAUGCACGAAAGCGUGGGGAGCAAACAGGAUUAGAUACCCUGGUAGUCCACGCCCUAAACGAUGUCUACUAGUUGUUGGUGGAGUAAAAUCCAUGAGUAACGCAGCUAACGCGUGAAGUAGACCGCCUGGGGAGUACGGUCGCAAGAUUA
rnacentral:rRNA from 1 species